GCCGAGAUGGUGGAAUUGGUAUACACGAUGGCCUCAAAAUCCAUUGCUCGAAAGAGCAUGCGGGUUCGACUCCCGCUCUCGGCA
rnacentral:tRNA from 1 species